AAAUGGACUCUCAGCACGGAUAUCUUG
rnacentral:rRNA from 1 species